GACGAACGCUGGCGGCAGGCCUAACACAUGCAAGUCGAACGAGAACGGCACUUCGGUGCUUAUUAGAGUGGCGCACGGGUGAGUAACGCGUGGGAACGUACCCUGAAGUACGGAAUAGCCUCGGGAAACUGGGAUUAAUACCGUAUAAUAUCUCCGGAUCAAAGAUUUAUCGCUUCAGGAUCGGCCCGCGUUAGAUUAGGUAGUUGGUGGGGUAAUGGCCUACCAAGCCUACGAUCUAUAGCUGGUCUGAGAGGAUGAUCAGCCACACUGGAACUGAGACACGGUCCAGACUCCUACGGGAGGCAGCAGUGGGGAAUAUUGGACAAUGGGGGAAACCCUGAUCCAGCCAUGCCGCGUGAGUGAUGAAGGCCCUAGGGUUGUAAAGCUCUUUCAACGGUGAAGAUGAUGACGGUAACCGUAGAAGAAGCCCCGGCUAACUUCG
rnacentral:rRNA from 1 species